AGAAUUCUCCAUGGUGUACAACUCAGCAAGUCUUCCUCUAAAGAGCCAAGUCUACUCUCCUGCAGAAGGCCUCUCUGUGCUCCCAGCCACAGUUUCCACCAACCCAUGCUGCCUGCCAGGAAUGUAAAAAACCACAUCAAGGGCAUUACUGGCAGCAGUAGCAUAUCUGGUUCCCAAAGAAAACCAGGUACCUGGACAGUGGACCCGCUAUGGCCAGUGAGAUCAGCUGACUCUAAAGCGUCAUAAAAAUCCUCAGCUAUAUCUUCAUCUAGGUCAGCAACAGGACUGGGUUCCUCACCUGAAGAAAGAAUAGCAUACUUGUCUUAUGCUCCAAGCAGUGUCAGAACAUUCAGGUCAAGAUGUGAUCAUUCUGCUGCUGCUUCAGUACCAUGCCUGCUGCCUGAGCCACGAUGGUGAUGUGUGCAUCCAACUGGAACCAUGAGCCCAACUUCAAACACACCCUUUCUUCUGGAAGUUGUCUUUCUCAUGGUCUUUUCUUACAGCCAUAGAAAGUAACUAACAUAACCAUCAUCUAGGUACAGUAGGAGUGACUUCAAACGUCUGAAGGAUUCAUUUCAAGCUAUGAAGGGGUUUUGCCCAGUGGAUUUGGUCACAAAACAAGUGAUCACAUUCCAUAAUGCUAGCUUAGAUAGGCUACCCAGAGCACUCACUGAUUCAACCAGAUACACUUAGGAAAUGUGAGUGUUGAAAGUGGAUUUGAUGCAGCAUGGCAAAUAAGGUCUCCAUAUAUUUGCUGCUCCUUACAUCUCUGAGAAAUUCAUAACUUAGCAGCCAACUUUUGCCCUUCAGUACCAGGUUUCAUGAUACUUACAUGAAAAAGUCACACUCCAAAACAUACUCUGCAUCAUCAAACAAUAUAACACAGAGAAGGUUCAACAAAAUGAGUUAAGCAGCACUGUUGAUCAAAGGGAAAGGAUGAGGAAACAUGCAAUCUCUGUGUCUUCAAACUGUUCAAAUGUUAGAAUUUAGUUCACUGGAUCCACUGAGAAACGGACUUGAAUACAGCAAAGCAUGUGGAAUUUUCAGACAUAGGCACGUUUUCAUACACCACGUGUUACCGGACUCAUUCUCCCCUUCCUCAUUGUGUAAACAUGCUUGAGACAGGUAUUAAAGAAGAAUAAAGGACCAUAUGAUGCAAAAUUAAAUUUCCAGGACAUCUGCCACUUCCAUGAAGAUAACACUGAAGAUAAAGGAGAGGACCCUGAAGUGAUUUCCCUGAAUUGUUAGUCACACAACAGGUGUAUAUUAACAGCAUUUAUUUGCCAGUAUACUUAAAUUCAUGAUUCAAAAUAAUCUUUAUCUUAGGGGUUUGUGCACAUGUGGUUACAUUACUCUGCUUAUGUUAUGCUUGUGUGUGUAUUUCUCCCCUCCCUCUCUCUGUCUCUGUCUCUCUCUCUCUAUUGUGUUUCUGUAUGUGUGUUUGUGUUUGUGUGUGUGUGUGUGUGUAGACUGGAGAGAUAUUUCAGGAGCUGGAUCUCUUCUUCCACAGAGUUAGAAAGAGGCUCUGACCAUUUCUGCUGCUCUCUAUGGUCUAAUCUGUCUAGCUUGUCUUUCAGGGCUGUUCUACUCUCUUAGCCUCCAAUCUGGAUUUAGGGGUGCAGAGAUUACAGGCUUUUUCCUUUUUUCAGGAUGAAAUUCAGCUUAUUAGGGUUCCAAGGCAAGUGCACUAUUCCACUGAGCCACCUGAUAGGUAUAUUUUAUGUAUAUAUACAUGCAUGAGUCCAUGUAUGUGUGUAUUUAUUUAUACAUAUAUAUGUGUAUAUGAAUAUGUGUAUAUAUAUGCAUAUAUAUUAUGCAUUUAUAUUCUAGUUUUAAAAUAAAGGGGAGAGAGAGAGGGAGAGAGAGAAAGA
rnacentral:lncRNA from 1 species